AUGUCAUGCUAGAACUGAUAUAAAAGAUCUUGCUGGUUUGACGGCUGUGGAAAUCCUGAAAGGCCCAGGUGGAUUAACAGAAAAAGAAAUUUGGAAUAUGCAAGUAGGCGGUGCAAGAUUUUCGUUUCCAUUAUAUAAAAGAGCAAUAUCUUCAUUAAUAUUAUUAUAUAAAAGUGUGAUAGCAUCUAAACAUUCAGUCCAUCAGGAAGCUCAGACAUCGAGAUUGAAGUCGAGGUCUUUGAUGUGGAAAUUAUUUCGGGAUAGGAAAUGUGAUAACAUCAAUAGCUGGAUCCAAUCAUGAAAUCAGAGAAAUUCAUGGAGUAAAUCAAGGAUCAUCAUAUCAAAUCAAGGAUAUUAAGGAAUCUGUAGAUUUACCUAUAUCAUUUUUCUAUGUAUAUAAAUAUAUACCUUGUACAGCAAAUAAUCAUAUAGAAAAAAGAGAAAUCAUUUUGUUCGUGGUAUCAGAGCAGUAAAGAUCCCACCUCGACAACAUCAGUUUAUCGUUCAAAUACACCUAACAUUUCUGCACCUGUUACUACCCCACCAUGGCUAACACAUCCAAGAAAGAAACAGAACAUGACCAGUUCACCUUAUCAAAUUCUGAUCACCCAGGCAUGUCACUGGUCAACGUCUCUCUCACAGGCGAUAAUUUCCUCGCUUGGAGUUGAUCCAUGUUGAUCGCAUUAAG
rnacentral:misc_RNA from 1 species